CCCAGGUGCAAGUGGGUAUAAAGGCAAGUGUGUUGUGGAGUCACAGGGGGCUUUUGGGCAUUGGUGCUUUGCUCCACUCCCAUCUCCCUGCCGCCAAAUCAUCAGAGGCUUCCUCUGGCCUGAUACAGCUGGGCUCUGGGAAGGAGAAGCAUUCUGUUCAGGAAAUGUAGUUGUCCUGCUGUGUGCUCUAUCCUUUCCUGACCUCACCUGAAACGCUCUGCUUGGCGCUGGAGAUCACGUCACAAACCAAAGACAAUGAAAAAUCUAAACACAACUACCAUGUGAAGAAUAGCUGAUGUUGCUGGAGAUAUGUAGUCUGGAGAGGAGUUGAGAAGAUUAAAUUGUUCAAAUAUUUGAAGGACUUCUUUGUGUUCCUUUAGAGCAGGGGUGUCCAAUCUUUUGGCUUCCCUGGGCCACACUGGAAGAAGAAGAAUUGUCUUGGGCCACACAUAAAAUACACGAACACUAAUGGUAGCUGAUGAGCUAAAAAAAAAAAAAAUUGCAAAAAAUCUCAUAAUGUUUUUAAAAAGUUUACAAAUUUGUGUUGUGCCGCCUUCAAAACCAUCCUGGGCCGUAUUGGCCUGAAGGCUAUGGGCUGGGCAGGCUUGCUUUAGAGGAUAGAAGUAGAAUCAACAGGUCAAAGUUACAAAUAAGCAAAUUUCAGCUCAGGAUAAAGGAGAAUUUUCUAGAAUAUAACUGGCUGAUAGUGAAGUCUUGAAUGCCCAACUCUCAACUGACUGAGCAAGAAUCAUGGCUGGCUGGCACAGCCAGGCGGACAAGUGUGGCUUGGUGGAAAGAGUAUGGUCCAAAGACCACAGUCAAGUCCUGGCCCUGCCCCUUACCAGCUAUGUGACUUACAUGCCAGCAAGUCUCAGUUUCCUCAGCAGUCAGAUAGAGGUGAUGAUACACAUUGCAUGGGGUUCUAUAAAUCAAGUCUAGAGUAGAAAGAGGUUUAAUGACAUAUGACUGACGGGUGGUGCCAUGUGGAAAAUUACCUUGAUGCAACAGAAGCCUCCAAGUAUAUGCUGCAAGACAAGCUGUCCCAGAGGUCAUGGAACAGAGAGGCUCACAGGCCAAAUUAAAAGGCUCAAAUCACAUAUUUGAUUAAAUUAUUUUGAAACACAUAAGGAGAUGAAAGAGAAUAAGAUGGAGUCCAUUAAGAUGCUUACAACAGGGUUACAAGUGAGGUGGAAGGUCCACACUACGUAAAACCGGGGCUGUGCAAUGUUCACAAAACAAAGACUGACACUAAACUGCUAAAAACCUGAUUGUGUCCCUAUGUAUAAAUGUCCUUGCCGUUUAGUCAUUUACAUAUGGCAUAUACCACAUGGGAUAAAUCAGAAGACCUCAGAGAUUUGUCAAUGUAUUCAGUGUUCAUAAUAUUAUCUCUAAAUAGAAGAUUCUAAACUCCAAACUGAUAAUGCCGAUAAUAAAAAAUAAACCAGGCCUAUACUGUCUUGUCAUCAACAGAUGGUUCCUGUUUUUCCCUCAUACUUAUCUAAGGGGCCUUGCUACAAACUGCAGCUCUAAAAUUGUUUUAGAAGAAGCAUCAAAGAAUCUCAGUAACAGAUGAUACCUAACUCCUGUCAGACUCUACUCAAAGACUGAAUUGGGAUUUUCAAGACUCUUUCAGUUCAGAAGUAGACUUCAUGAAGGUAGAGCUUAACCCAAGAUCAAUAAAAUAAGAACUAAUUAACCCAGGACUAAAAUAACUGACCACACUAUGGUUAAUGUUCUAUUGUGAAUAGCUUCUUUUUUUUUAUUUUAUUUUUUGAGACAGAGUCUCUCUCUGUCACCCAGGC
rnacentral:lncRNA from 1 species